GCAAAGAAGUAAGCGGAAAGGUUAUUGUUAAAUUUUGCUUCGUGUGCUUCCUACAACAGCAUCCUACAGAUCAGCUUUAUAUAAACUCAGGCACAACAUGGCCUAACUAACCAAAUGACACAUUGAAAAGCACACAAAGCAAAGUUAAACAAUAACUUUCCACUGACUUCUUUGC